UAUGAUUUAGUAUUUGAUGUAUAAAGGAUUUUGAAUCCUUUGGGGAUAGUUUAAAUCUAUUGAUCGUAA
rnacentral:tRNA from 1 species